rnacentral:rRNA from 1 species
UACGAAGGGGGCUAGCGUUGCUCGGAAUCACUGGGCGUAAAGGGUGCGUAGGCGGGUUUUUAAGUCAGGGGUGAAAUCCUGGAGCUCAACUCCAGAACUGCCUUUGAUACUGAAGAUCUCGAGUCCGGGAGAGGUGAGUGGAACUGCGAGUGUAGAGGUGAAAUUCGUAGAUAUUCGCAAGAACACCAGUGGCGAAGGCGGCUCACUGGCUCGGUACUGACGCUGAGGCGCGAAAGCGUGGGGAGCAAACAGG